ACUCCACACAGGAAGAUUCAAACUCUCAACGUUGGAACUGUAAGGCAGCCAUGAUCUCUGCUUUUUUAUUAUGCUACACCAGCUAUUAAAGUUUCUGUAUCACUGAUAAAUCAUUAAACCAUAAUUCAUAAAGUACUAAUUGGCACUGAAAGUUUAAGUGACAGUAUAAACUGUAGCAUAUACAGAACAGUCUUGUAUAUUUGGUUAACAACAUCCUUAUUCUUACGGGCUAUGACUGUCUGAUGAGAACUAGAAUGUAGAAUGUUACCAAAAAUGAAAUCUUCAUAAAGAGAAAAAUGAUAGCAUAUGAAUACUGUACAGUAUAUUUAUUAUUCUGGUUGUACAGUACUUCUUAGUGCAUCCUCCAUUCAUUUAUUUUUUUCGAUACUGUUUAUUCUGCUUGAGAGCGCAUAAAAACUGGAGCCUAUCUAAGCUGACUUGCCCGCUUUUCCACGGCCCUGGCUUGGCACAGCUCAGUGGAGCUACUGGUUUGGUUUUCUACGUGAAAAUUGUAUUACAGGAAAUUGUGAUAAUCACGCUAUACCUAAUGUGUCAAUCGGGGGGGGGAGAUGUGGUUACAGGCAGUAGUCUUGUCGCAUUGACUUCUGAAGGCAGCAGGAAAACAGACUUCUGCACCAAAGUGGAGAAUGCGGACUAUAAUGCUGGAGCGUCACAGUAACAGGCCAGUGACCUAGUGCCUCAUCACCCCUUGCCAUACCUGGUUGGUUUCCAAGGCAGUUUGAGCCAGAGCUACAGCCUCCAUUUGGCUCCCCCUGCCUUUGAAGGAUUCUCCCCGAAUGCCUUCUGUCAACUAAAAGUUAUACAACUUUUCAGGUUUUGCUUAGUCGUACUUUUGGGUCAAUACUGGUAUUCUGACAUUUUGACUCUGUGAUUGCCUUCCAUCUGGCUCCCUACUUGUCAUGCAGAAAACAAGGUGAAAAUGUUACCCUUAUGCUGUCUGUUUAUGAAUUGAACUCUUGCAUUUUUGUUUGUUUGUUUGUUUGAAAUAGUCACAUGAGCAGUUGGAAAAGAUGCUUGAUAUUGUGACCAAAUUGCAAAAUAAUUAACACUGGCUGUGCUUUUGUACUUGUAUAAUAACCCCUCUCUCUUUGCAACCAUUUUGUUAGUGGAAGCAGUGCACCUCAGCUAGCAGUGAUGGUUAAAUAUCACAUUUAAUUAAAUCAAUUUUUAAUUGAAGACUCUAAAUUGCCCGUAGGUGUGAAUGUGAGUGCGAGUGGUUGUUUGUUGCUUUGCGAUUGGCUGACGACCAGUUCAGGGUGUAACUCUGCCUCCUGCCCCGAUGAUAGCUGGGAUAGGCUCCAGCACUCCCACGACCCUUGUGAGGAGAAGCGGCUCAGAAAAUGGAUGGAUGCAUGUUUAAAAAAUGUUUCAGAACCCUUGCUCUCGUGACUGUUAUUCAAAAAAGUGACAAGCGACAAAUGUGACUUUUUGUGGUGUUAUUGGAGACUUCUGUGUUCUCCGAGACUCCCUCCAGAGCAGGGAAUGUUCAUGCCUCCCUGUCCACACUGCAAAUGAAUGGCGCUUGCGUGACGCCAUCACUGACCUUUACAUAUUUAAAUGCAUUUUCCCUAUUUGAGGCACCCAACGAUUUCAACAAAAAAUAAAUACGUCACCUAUAAGUGUAAAAAACAAUACCAACUGACGUAACGUAUUGCAUUGGCAUUUGGCAGCUGUUUUAAUCGAGCUUCUAAUAUAAAGUGCAAAGAGAUCUGAAUGCAAGUGAAUGAGGCCUAUGCUCUAUAACAAAGGGAGCAAAUCAUUAGGUGUAGCCAAAUCAACGGUUUGGCAGUCUUAAAAAGAAAGCUUAAGAACAUCAAAGGCCUGGAAGACCUCUAAAGACAAAACUGCCUCACCAACAGAAGUCAAAAAUACUCUCCAAAAGGUCGCCAUGUCAUUGUCAAUGUCUACAAUCAAGAGAUGCCAUCAUGAAUGCAAAUGUCAAGGGUGUACAACCCACUGGUAGUAUUAAGAAUAGAAAAUAAAAUGGUAAAUACACUUCAAUCUCAUUUUGAUUGUUACAUUUCAAAUCCAUUGUGGUUGUGUCCGUCCAUCCAUCCAUUUUCUACCGCUUAUCCGAGUUCGGGUCGCGGGGGCAGUAGCUUUAGCAGGGACGCCCAGACUUCCCUCUCCCCAGCCACUUCAUCCAGCUCUUCCGGGGGGAUCCCAAGGCGUUCCCAGGCCAGCCGAAGGAUGUAGUCUCUCCAGCGUGUCCUGGGUCGUCCCCGGGGUCUCCUCCCGAUGGGACGUGCCCAGAACGCCUUUCCGGGUAGGCGUCCGGGAGGCAUCCGAAUUAGAUGCCCCAGCCACCCCAUCUGGCUCCUCUCGAUGUGGAGGAGCAGCGGCUCUACUCUGAGAUCCUCCCGGAUGACCGAGCUUCUCACCCUAUCUCUAAGGGAGAGCCCGGACACCCUGCGGAGGAAACUCAUUUUGGCCGCUUACCAGGGAGGCUGAGGAGUGUGAUCCCCCUGUAGUUGGAACACACCCUCCGGUCCCCCUUCUUAAAAAGGGGGACCACCACCUCAGUCUGCCAAUCAAGAGGGACUGUCCCCGAUGUCCACGCGAUGUUGCAGAGGCGUGUUAACCAGGACAGCCCUACAACAUCCAGAGCCUUGAGGAACUCCGGGCGAAUCUCAUCCACUCCCUGGGGCCUUGCCACCGAGGAGCUUUUUAACCACCUCGCUGACCUCAUCCCCAGAGAUAGGAGAGUCCGCCUCAGAAAACCCAGACUCUGCUCCCUCAUGGGAAGGCGUGUCGGUGGAAUUGAGGAGGUCUUCGAAGUAUUCUCCCCACCGGCUCACAACGUCCCGAGUCGAGGUCAGCAGCGCCCCAUCCCCACUAUACACAGUGUUGAUGGUGCACUGCUCCCCCCCACCCCCUUUUGGUGCAUAGGCACAAACAACAGUCUGGACCCGUCCCCCCAUCCGAAGGCGGAGGGAGGCUACUCUCUCGUCCACCGGGGUGAACCCCAACGUACAGGCACCGAGCCGGGGAGCAAUAAGUAUACCCACACCUGCUCGGCGCCUCUCACCGUGGGCAACUCCAGAGUGGAAGAGAGUCCAACCCCUCUCGAGAGGACUGCUACCAGAGCCCAAGCUGUGCGUGGAGGCGAGUCCGAUUGUAUCUAGUCGGAACUUCUCGACCUCACACACCAGCUCGGGCUCCUUCCCUGCCAGAGAGGUGAAAUUCCACGUCCCUAGAGCCAGCUUCUGUAGCCGGGGAUCGGAUCGCCAAGGUCCCACCCUUCGGCCACCGCCCAGCUCGCACUGCACCCAACCCCUAUUGCCCCUCCCACAGGUGGUGAGCCCUUGUUAAGGGGGACCCACGUUACCCUUUCGCGCUGUGCCCAGCCGGGCCCCAUGGGUGUAGGCCCAGUCACAGGCGCUCGCCUUCGAGCCCCACCUCCAGGCCUGGCUCCAGAGGGGGGCCCCGGUGACCCGCGUCCGGGCAAGGGAAACCUGAGUCCAUUUUUUAUCGUCAUCAUAAGGGGUCUUUGAGCCGUGCACAUCACGCCUUGGAGAUCCCACCCUGAACUCAAAUACAAAUAAACCAUUCUGCAUGACUUCUUCCGCCUCCAUCUGCUUCUGGGUCCAGUCAACAUCAAUACUAUUAUAUCGUGACAAUAUUUAUAUAUAAUUUUUUUUACCUCCUAAGUGAGCUGCUUCUCCCCACUGGGGUCGCGGGCGUGCUGGAGCCUAUCCCAGCUGUCAUCGGGCAGGAGGCGGGGUACACCCUGACCUGGUUGCCAGCCAAUCGCAGGGCACAUACAAACAAACAACCAUUCACACUCACAGUCACACCUAUGGGCAAUUUAGAGACUCCAAUUAAUGCAUGUUUUUGGGAUGUGGGAGGAAACCGGAGUGCCCGGAGAAAACCCACGCAGGCACGGGGAGAACAUGCAAAAUCCACACAGGCGGGGAUUGAACCCAGGUCCUCAGAACUGUGAGGCUGACGCUCUAACCAGUCGUGCACCGUGCCACCCGAAUACUCGCAUUCAGCAGGAAAUGCAACCAGAGGAUGGCUGAUUUUUCUUCUUGCGGAGGUUCAAAUGUUUUCCAUAUUGUUGGACUCUAAAUGGAUGCAGGAAAUGCUGUCACUCCAGUCUGCUUUCCAAACUUCCAGAAUGAGGUUUUGGCUGCGGCAGAUGCCAGUGCAGUAAAUUCCAGCGCAACACCGACCCAGCUCAGGUUUCUUCCUGUUGGUAGAGAGACUCCACCCUCGCUUGGUUCUUCAGAUGAAAUGAGUUGAUUUGAAUCUGUUCGGGUUGUAUUGAGAAGACUCUAUGCAUGUUGCUUAGGUGACCUGCGGACAUCAUUUGACGGUUGAAAUGUUGACCAGACAUGCACACGAAGACUGUUGUGAAAAUUAGGACAAACGUGAAUCUGAAUAGUCUCCGGGUUUUAUGCAAACAAAAGGGAAAAGAGUGUACAUAUGCAUUGAUUUAGGGUAGCAAUUACCUAAUUGUAUUGCCUUCAUCUUGACAACAAGCCAAAUGUGUGCAAUGUUUUUUUUCAUCAGUCUGUUUUAUGAAUUCUCAUUUUUGCUGUCUUCAAAUAAAACAAACUGUAAAUAAUCAGAGAAGGACCAGAGAUGAAGCCUUUGGAGAAACAAUCUUGAUAGAUAAUUAUUUCCAUGGAGAAAAGGCCAGGCCAAUUUUAAAUAUGACAACCCAAACUGCUUGAGUAAUUUAUAUUGCCUCCUUUAUCACAUUUUAUGUCUUAAUUUCUCUCUAUUCUUCCACACUGAUGUUAUUCCACAUUUCAAAAUGAUGUACUAUUUGAAGUAUU